CACUUAUAUAUGGAAUUCUUUACACUUUUGAAGGCUCUACGGAGAGAUGCAACUCAUAUACACACAUAUCUGCGACCUUUCCAGUCGCCUUCUCGUUCAGCUGCUAUCCACUACCUGCUCUGGGUAGGGGCCUUCCAAAGCUACAGGCAAACAAUUGCUGCAUUCCAGAAGUCACCGCUAAAACGCGGCAACGCUACAGGACCUGAGCGCUCCCAGUCGUUGCUUCGCUUCUACAAGCAGCACCAACGGCGACGCUACAUCUUGGAACACUUUCAGCGUUCCCUUCCAUUCGGUAUAGUACACUCCUUCACGGCUCUCAAUAUAUAUGGUUCCAUGUGAAAAUCCCUACACAGUUUAAUCAGCUGCUAGGCACUGCAUAUUAAUAUUAAUGAGUAAUAUUGACGAAACAAUUCAGAAGUGACUGAUUUCUCAUCCGUGGGGCUGCCUUGACAGCGAUCUUAGUGAGAAUUGUUGACUUCUAGCGACUCAGCGACUUCUACUCUGAGCGCUUCUCGUCGGUGCGUUACGCACCUGGUGGUCUCGCUACAUAUGUUGGUCUUCUCGACGGUCCAAUUAAAAAACGGCAGGAGCACAACUACGAACUACGUAUGAACAUGGAAACUGCUAUUAGUUCGUUCAGCUUCGUAGGAUAUAAUAAGGGACUUCUCAGGGUUGCGCUCGCAAAUACAUUCGAACCAAACACACACAUCGUUUCACCAUCCAUAUUUAAAGCUCUACGGAUGGAACAACUCAGAGGGGAUAAAUGCACGUAUCAGCUACCAGCUCCACUGAAUACUGAUCAUCAUGAC